rnacentral:rRNA from 1 species
AGACGUCUACAUUAGAUACCCCCUGUAGUCCCAGCCGUAAACUAUGCGCGUUAGGUGUAUCGGUGACCACGAGUUACCGAGGUGCCGAAGGGAAACCGUGAAACGUGCCGCCUGGGAAGUACGGUCGCAAGGCUGAAACUUAAAGGAAUUGGCGGGGGAGCACCACAACAGGUGGAGCCUGCGGUUUAAUUGGACUCAACGCCGGGAAGCUCACCGGAUAGGACAGCAGAAUGAUUGCCGGGCUGAAGACCCUGCAUGACUAGCUG